rnacentral:rRNA from 1 species
UCUCCCUGGAAAAGGGUGGUAAUGCCGGAUGCUCCAGUUGAUCGCAUGGUCUUCUGGGAAAGCCUUUGCGGCAUGGGAUGGGGUCGCGUCCUAUCAGCUUGAUGGCGGGGUAACGGCCCACCAUGGCUUCGACGGGUAGCCGGCCUGAGAGGGCGACCGGCCACAUUGGGACUGAGAUACGGCCCAGACUCCUACGGGAGGCAGCAGUGGGGAAUAUUGCACAAUGGGCGCAAGCCUGAUGCAGCGACGCCGCGUGAGGGAUGGAGGCCUUCGGGUUGUAAACCUCUUUUGUUAGGGAGCAAGGCAUUUUGUGUUGAGUGUACCUUUCGAAUAAGCACCGGCUAACUACGUGCCAGCAGCCGCGGUAAUACGUAGGGUGCAAGCGUUAUCCGGAAUUAUUGGGCGUAAAGGGCUCGUAGGCGGUUCGUCGCGUCCGGUGUGAAAGUCCAUCGCUUAACGGUGGAUCCGCGCCGGGUACGGGCGGGCUUGAGUGCGGUAGGGGAGACUGGAAUUCCCGGUGUAACGGUGGAAUGUGUAGAUAUCGG